GGCGUUGAUAGAUAUGGUUGCUA
rnacentral:siRNA from 1 species